AUUAAACGCUGGCGGCAUGCCUUACACAUGCAAGUCGAACGGCAGCACGGGGGCAACCCUGGUGGCGAGUGGCGGACGGGUGAGUAAAGCAUCGGAACGUAUCCUGGAGUGGGGGGAUAACGUAGCGAAAGUUACGCUAAUACCGCAUAUUCUGUGAGCAGGAAAGCAGGGGGAUCGCAAGACCUUGCGCUCUGGGAGCGGCCGAUGUCGGAUUAGCUAGUUGGUGGGGUAAAGGCCUACCAAGGCGACGAUCCGUAGCGGGUCUGAGAGGAUGAUCCGCCACACUGGGACUGAGACACGGCCCAGACUCCUACGGGAGGCAGCAGUGGGGAAUUUUGGACAAUGGGCGAAAGCCUGAUCCAGCCAUGCCGCGUGAGUGAAGAAGGCC
rnacentral:rRNA from 1 species